UACGUAGGGGGCAAGCGUUAUCCGGGUUUACUGGGUGUAAAGGGAGCGUAGACGGCUUUGCAAGCCAGAUGUGAAAGCCCGGGGCUCAACCCCGGGACUGCAUUUGGAACUGUAUGGCUGGAGUGUCGGAGAGGCAGGCGGAAUUCCUAGUGUAGCGGUGAAAUGCGUAGAUAUUAGGAGGAACACCAGUGGCGAAGGCGGCCUGCUGGACGAUGACUGACGUUGAGGCUCGAAAGCGUGGGGAGCAAACAGG
rnacentral:rRNA from 1 species